GCUGUUAGAAGCUGUACUUGGCACAUUUAAGAACACAGAGUCAUAGGACUGGAACGUAGAAAUCAUCUAGCUUGACUUCCUCAUUGUGCAGAUGGGUAAUCGGAGCCUCACAGAAGUCAGGAAACUAGGAGUCCAGAAUUGGCCUGUCGUCCCUUGUCUGAGAUGCGUGGGUGAAUAUCAACUCCAAGACUGUAAACGCCAUGCACGCAGGCACAGAGUCUUACUUUAACUUUGUAUCUUCCUCAGAGCUUAGCACAGUAAUAAAUAAUUAUUAAAUUGGCAUUUGA